UAAAGCUAUGGCUUUUCUAGAUAUUUCUUCCUUACAUAACACUGUUACCUAAUAUUCUUCUUCUUCCUCCUCCAAUCUAAUCCAGGGAAGGGGACAUUCCAUUCCGGCCUGUUCUUUCCUCAGAAUCCGAUUCCCUCUCCCUCUCCUUUCACUAUAUAUAUACACAAAGCCAUCCACUUGAAGAAUUCAUUCUUCUUCUUCUUAUCAUUCUCGAUUGAUCUGUUCGUGUUUCAGACAUGAGCGCUCCUCCCAAGUACGCUUACCCAUAUCCUCCUCAAGGCUAUUACCAGGGACCGCCGGUGAUGCCGCCGCCUCAAUACGCUGCUCCGCCGCCAAAGAGAAACCGGGGGUUUCUAGAGGGAUUACUUGCAGCUUUGUGUUGCUGUUGCCUCAUAGAUGAAUGCUGUUGUGAUCCCUCCAUCGUCUUCGUCACCUAAGAAUUAACACUAGCUUAGUAUUUUACUAUACAUCUUCAUGUAAUACACAGAAUUAAUAUACUUAAACACUAAGUACAUCUGUAUGUAUUUAAAUUUAAAUAAAUAAUUACAUUCAUAUUUAUAAACUCGAUCUGAUCUGCAGUAGACGACAUUUAUUUUGUUUGGGUUAUUGUUUGAUUCUUCGUGUGUAAUAAAGUUUGAUUCUUUCAGUUGUGGAAUAUGGUUUGAUGUAAUUCAAUGGCUUUGGCUUUUGUAGUGGUUUGGGAA